rnacentral:tRNA from 1 species
GUUCUUAUAGUUGAAAUACAACGAUGGUUUUUUCAUAUC